rnacentral:rRNA from 1 species
AUUGAACGCUGGCGGCAUGCUUUACACAUGCAAGUCGAACGGUAACAGGGAGCUUGCUCCGCUGACGAGUGGCGAACGGGUGAGUAAUAUAUCGGAACGUACCCAAGAGUGGGGGAUAACGUAGCGAAAGUUACGCUAAUACCGCAUACGAUCUACGGAUGAAAGUGGGGGAUCGCAAGACCUCAUGCUCCUGGAGCGGCCGAUAUCUGAUUAGCUAGUUGGUGAGGUAAAGGCUCACCAAGGCGACGAUCAGUAGCUGGUCUGAGAGGACGACCAGCCAAACUGGAACUGAGACACGGUCCAGACUCCUACGGGAGGCAGCAGUGGGGAAUUUUGGACAAUGGGCGCAAGCCUGAUCCAGCAAUGCCGCGUGAGUGAAGAAGGCCUUCGGGUCGUAAAGCUCUUUUGUCAGGGAAGAAACGGGAGUGGCUAAUAUCCAUUCCUAAUGACGGUACCUGAAGAAUAAGCACCGGCUAACUACGUGCCAGCCGCCGCAGUAA